rnacentral:rRNA from 1 species
GACAGAGGAUGCAAGCGUUAUCCGGAAUGAUUGGGCGUAAAGCGUCUGUAGGUGGCUUUUUAAGUCCGCCGUCAAAUCCCAGGGCUCAACCCUGGACAGGCGGUGGAAACUACCAAGCUGGAGUACGGUAGGGGCAGAGGGAAUUUCCGGUGGAGCGGUGAAAUGCGUAGAGAUCGGAAAGAACACCAACGGCGAAGGCACUUUACUGGGCUAUUACUAACACUCAGAGACGAAAGCUAGGGUAGCAAAUGGG